rnacentral:lncRNA from 1 species
CGUAGUUCUAAUCGGAGGUAAUUUUCACUUAAGAAAUGUGUGUUUCCUAACGCGAGAAGUGGCAUUUCCCAGUGUAUCUCAGACGUCUUGUUGUCGAGCCGAAUGAGCAUGCGCUACGCGAUUUGCUCCUCUCCCCCCGGAAAAAAAGGGUUGUAUAGAAAAGCAUGCACAAGCGCCUCCGCAUACAAUGAAUCAGCAUUGUCUUUUUCAAAAACGCUACAGGGGCGAAGCAUUUGUCUUGAUUCCUAAGCGCAUGGACGCCGGGUUUGUGCCAAGGGCGUUCCCUUCGACCCCGCAGCAAGGGGUCUGACCCUCUCGCAUCUUCAGAGUGGUGUACCAUGAGAGGUCACCCGGGGAAGACCGUGGCAGCUUGUGCGCGAACAAGUUCUGUAUCGCCGGCGGGGGCGAUGCGGUUUUUUUCCGGAAACUCAAUAUGCAGCCAAAGUAGGAUGUAUCACAGCACUGCUGUCUUCCCAUAAAAAACUUUUUUUCCCUGUUUGCUCGCCUGUGAUUGCUUUCCUCUCUGUCCACGUCCAUUUGGGGUGUGCUGUGUCCUUUCGUCGAGAUGUUCAGCCGCAAUGGUAGACGGAUGCCUCUGUUGAUCCGGAUGUGGCCCAGACGUCUGCUCGUCUCUCGUUCUGGCACGUUGUUGCUUCUUUUCCCCCGGAGAGGAAACAUCUUUCGGUAGACUAACAAUUCAGUUUUUUUCCAGGAGCAGGGGGGGGUUCCUGUUACUGCUGGACUCUUCCGUAGGAGCUCACGAGCAUUAACCCCUCUGCUGAAGAAAGGCAGCCUGAAGGAUUUUGAGUU